CCUUCCCCGAGGCAAGCUUACAGAAACUGAGGAACUGUUAGAAAACAGGAACAAUGCGUCAAAGUGUAUGGAUGGGACAAAGGGAUUUUAGACACAACACCUGAAGCACAGGAGACAAAAGCAAAGAUCAGCAAACAGUGAUACACUGAAUUUUACAGGUAUUCUGGCCAUCAGUGAGAGUUUCUGGUUCAACUCCUGUCCCAUUGACUUCCUUCUGAGGAUGUGAUCAUGGUGAGAGGAAUUGUUUGACAUAAGCUGGAGUCAUCUGAGAAGAGGAAACCUCAGUUGAGAAAGUGCCUCCAACAGACUGAUCUGGAGGCGAGCCUGUGAACCAGUUUGUUUCUUAAUUGAUGGUUGAUGUGGAUGGAUCCUGCUCCCUCUAGGGAAUCUCCCUAGGCAGGUGGUCCUGGUUACAUAAGAAAACAGGCCUGAGUGAGCCAGCAGGCCUUAUCCACUGCUUCUGCUUCAGUUCCUGCCUGCAGGUUCCUGUGUUGAAUUCCUACCUUGCACCCAUUCAGUAGACUGUGACUUGGGAUACAUAAAAGCAAAUAAAUCCUUCUUUCCCGCUCCAA